rfam:Sulfuritalea hydrogenivorans sk43H DNA, complete genome.
GCCCGGAUGGUGAAAUUGGUAGACACAAGGGACUUAAAAUCCCUCGGCGCAAGCCAUACCGGUUCGAUUCCGGUUCCGGGCA